UAGCUGCAAAUGCGUCUUUCUACUUGGCAAAGUACUGACAAAUGUAUGUGGUGCCACGACACGGAUGUCGUGGCAGCGAACUUGAGACAAGGAUGUCGAAUGUUCGCGUGCCACAUGCAUGUCAGUACGUGCCUUAGUAGAAAAGCAUAUGCAGCGU
rfam:Firmicutes bacterium CAG:194 genomic scaffold, scf11